rnacentral:lncRNA from 1 species
CUGCUCCCUGACAGGGCUACCCCUCAACCAGCCUAGGCAAUUGCCUACUUCAGCACAGAAAGCAUCCGCUCCAGAGCUGAGUACCUCUCCAAAAGAGCUUUGAAAUGCAUCACAAUCCAUGAGCAACAUCAAGAUAAAUGGGCAGCCACACCAAUGAGGAUAUGGAGUAGAGGAAAUGCUGGAAGAUAUGGAGACAUAUUAAAUUAGUAUGUCAUCAGUAAUUUUAAUUACAUUUGAGGAAGAAAUCCGUCGGUAGCCAGUAAAUGUUGUUAGUUCUCUUGUCCAUGAUCUCCAUUUAUAUCCAAAAAAUUAACUCUA